UGAAGGUUGAAGCACUUCAGAGUUUUUACUUCAUUAAAAAUAUAUGGAAGCUAGUUUGUUUUUCAGAGACUGGGAGUCGGAACCUGAAAGACGUGGUAAAUUGUAAAUACCUUGAUAAAAUUGCAAUGAAUAAAAUAUUUGAAGUUAAAAAGUCUUGAAGACUACAGCAUUUUUAAACAACAGUAUUUCAUACUUUUUUUCCUAGGAUUCACUGGUGUGAGAUUCUUAGCACCCUUCACAAAAAAAUAAUAAAACAUUCUCAAAACCAUUUUGUUAGAAGAGAAUCAGACCAAAGACACUCUUGAAAUUGCUGGCUGCCUUUCUUCAAGAUUUGUUGAGGACACCAGGAUUCAGAAUAGAGUUUUUAUUGAUUGGAAAAACAGGCCUGGAGAUUAAUGAGUUGGCCAGGAUUACACCCACAUAAUAAGUGAGAUGCAAAGCCACAAUUAGAACUGGAGUACCUCAUGGCAGCCUUCUGAAGAGUUUGGCACAUCCAGACCACAGCUACUUUUGAUCCUGUCAGCUACUUGCCACAUUUAACAGAGAGAGAGGAAACCUCGUAUAAGAGAUAUUCACUGACCAUUUAACAACCACAGCAGAUUUACAGUAACUGUAGUUCUGGCAGUG